rnacentral:tRNA from 1 species
GUUCCCGACAGAGUGGCUGAAGGAGCACGCCUGGAAAGUGUGUAUACGGCAACGUAUCGGGGGUUCGAAUCCCCCCCUCACCGCCA